rnacentral:lncRNA from 1 species
ACUUACCUGACCAAUUUGGUGAACUAGAUUUUGAUUAGAUCACUAAGUGCUUUGAGUUAGCCCAUGCCAUUAAGGUUGAUCAAUGUGACUGAUCUAGGUGCCAGUUCAAUCAGCAUGACCUAAUUUGAUUCAGUGAUUUGGUAAAAUUAGUGGGAGGAUUAUGGUCUACUGAUUAAUCUUUUCUUCUCUUCUCUCUUCUAUAAAUCGAUUAAAUCUUCUAAAUUAUUAGGUCCUUAAAAUGAGAUAGUUAUAGUGAUAACUAGAUCAUAGUCUUCUAUUAAGGUGAGUGAUAAUGGGUCUAUUAUUUCUGAUUGACAUUACAGGUGCCAUCUGUCUGAUGUUUUCUCUAAAUGAUAGAAUUAUCAUUCAUCAUUUGAUGACUUUGAUGAACUAUCUAAUAAUGGUUGGGUUGAAUGAGCCAUCUUCGAGCUU